GAUGAACGCUAGCGGCAGGCCUAACACAUGCAAGUCGAGGGGUAGAAUUAGCUUGCUAAUUUGAGACCGGCGCACGGGUGCGUAACGCGUAUGCAAUCUGCCUUGUACUGAGGGAUAGCCCAGAGAAAUUUGGAUUAAUACCUCAUAGUAUUAUGAUGUGGCAUCACAUUAUAAUUAAAGUUCCAACGGUACAAGAUGAGCAUGCGUCCCAUUAGUUAGUUGGUAAGGUAACGGCUUACCAAGACGAUGAUGGGUAGGGGUCCUGAGAGGGGGAUCCCCCACCCUGGUACUGAGACACGGACCAGACUCCUACGGGAGGCAGCAGUGAGGAAUAUUGGUCAAUGGGCGCAAGCCUGAACCAGCCAUGCCGCGUGCAGGAUGACGGUCCUAUGGAUUGUAAACUGCUUUUAUACGGGAAGAAACACUGCUACGUGUAGCAGCUUGACGGUACCGUAAGAAUAAGGAUCGGCUAACUCCGUGCCAGCAGCCGCAGUAAAAC
rnacentral:rRNA from 1 species